UACGUAGGGGGCGAGCGUUGUCCGGAUUUACUGGGCGUAAAGAGCGUGUAGGCGGCCAAACAGGUCCGUUGUGAAAACUGGAGGCUUAACCUCCAGACGUCGACGGAAACCGUGUGGCUAGAGUCCGGAAGAGGAGAGUGGAAUUCCUGGUGUAGCGGUGAAAUGCGCAGAUAUCAGGAAGAACACCAAUGGCGAAGGCAUCUCUCUGGGACGGUACUGACGCUGAGACGCGAAAGCGUGGGGAGCGAACAGG
rnacentral:rRNA from 1 species